rnacentral:rRNA from 1 species
UACGAAGGGGGCUAGCGUUGCUCGGAAUUACUGGGCGUAAAGCGUGCGCAGGCGGUUUGUUAAGUCCGUUGUGAAAGCCCCGAGCUCAACUUGGGAAUUGCAGUGGAUACUGGCAGGCUGGAGUACGGUAGAGGAAGGUGGAAUUCCCGGUGUAGCAGUGAAAUGCGUAGAUAUCGGGAGGAACACCAGUGGCGAAGGCGGCCUUCUGGACCAGUACUGACGCUCAUGCACGAAAGCGUGGGGAGCAAACAGG